UUCAUCCACAGAUGAAGGGAUACAGAAAC
rnacentral:piRNA from 2 species